GGUGGAGUAGCUCAGUGUUAGAGCACUUGCCUUACAUGCCUGUGGCUCUGGGUUCAAUCUCCAGCAUCACAC
rnacentral:tRNA from 1 species